UUAGGGCUCAAAAUCUCACACGUUUAUUCAACAUCCAAAAACCAAGGUCAAAAUCACUCUAGAAUUAUGCAAAUUAGUUCCAAUCAUGCUCAAAUCAUCAAAGAAAAUCAAACUCCAAAUUUUUUCACAGAAAUCAUCAUUGGCACCUCACCAACUAUGCAAUAAUCAUCUCAAAAAAAAUCUAAUCGAGCAAUAAUCAUCUCAAAAAAAAUACACCCUACCAACUAAGCAAAAUAAAAUAAUAAAGCCAACAAAAUAAUAAAAGUGAUACACAUAUCUCCUCUCACCCCCC
rnacentral:lncRNA from 1 species